CUGGUUUCGACAGGGUAGGUCUGAGGUGGGCAGCAGGCCGUGGUCUCCUCGCCACGUUAAUCAGGGGUACCGUCAAAUUUAAUUGACAACGAUUCUUAUCAGGGCAACCUUGCCCUCGCUGCUUAAUUAAUUAGCGGCCGUCAAGGCGAGGGCUUCUCCCGCUCUCGCGGCGACGUCAUCUGAGGGAGAUGCUCCGACGGAUGUGGUUGGUAUGCCGUUGGCUAAGACCAAACCAGCUGGGAUCCUGAGCGUACGCCGUUGGACGCGACGGAUCCGAGAUCUAACCAGCGGAUAAGCCUGUAGACACCUGCCAGGGAUCUAUUUUGGACCGGAGUUCGAUUCUCCG
rnacentral:tmRNA from 1 species